UACGUAGGGGGCAAGCGUUGUCCGGAAUCAUUGGGCGUAAAGAGCGUGUAGGCGGCCCGAUAAGUCCGCUGUGAAAGUCCAGGGCUUAACCCUGGGAUGCCGGUGGAUACUGUCGGGCUCGAGUCCGGAAGAGGCGAGUGGAAUUCCUGGUGUAGCGGUGAAAUGCGCAGAUAUCAGGAGGAACACCAAUGGCGAAGGCAGCUCGCUGGGACGUGACUGACGCUGAGACGCGAAAGCGUGGGGAGCAAACAGG
rnacentral:rRNA from 1 species